UUACUGCUAGUUAAAAUUUAAAAUCCUCAAGUCUAAAAUAGUCCAAAAUCCAAAUCAAUGUUUGUGAGAUCUGAAACCCUAGAUCUACCGUCACCACUUUCAUCUCUUCUCCAUUAUCACCAUCAAGCUCGCUCCAGUGUUCUGAGAUCAGAGGGAGAGUAAGCUCGCCACUGUCACCAUUCAUGUCCUGGUCGUUGCCGCCAUCAAGCUUCUAUGUCAAUGUGUUGUUUCCUUUGUCUACACGCCAUAGCUUUUGAGAUCAGAGAAAGUGAGUUCGUAGCCACCGCCGGCGCCUCCAUCAAGCUUAUCCGUCGACGCGUUUGAUUUUCUUCUUAAUCACCUAAGUUCAAUUUCUGUUUGUUCUUUUUUUUCUUUUUCAUUGUUAUUUAUUUAACUCAGUUUGGAUAUUUUUUUGUUUUUCACUUUUCCUCUACAUUUUUCAUGCAUAUAUAGCGUGGUUAGAAUUUGUUAUGAAGAAAGACGCAGUGGUAGUAGUGCGGCGGCGGUGAUAGUGCGAUAGCAAUGGCGGCGGUGGAGCGAAGAAUGGCUCUUCAUAGAGCGCAACAAGUGAAGAAAAGUAGACAUGGACCGAGGUCGCGAAGCUCAGAGUAUAGCGGCGUCACCUUCUAUUGAAGGAUCGGACAAUGUGAAUCGCAUAUUUGCAUGAUGGAUUCUUCCCUUUUCUUGAAAAUUGAUGCUUUUCCCAACAACAACAGCACAGAUUAGAGACCAUUGGAGCAAAGCAAAAGCUGUUGAUAUUUGAUAAGCACAACAAUGACCCUCAGAUAUAAUCUGUAACAGGUACAAUAUGCUUGAUCAAUAUUUUGUUAAGAAAUCGGUGUUUUCAUUUUGGCUGAACCGUAACCCAGAGGAAGAGAAUGGGGUGAACUUGUUUUUGGAGGUGUUGAUCCCAAUCACUACAAGGGAAAGCACACUUAUGUGCCUGUGUCAAGAAAAGUUUGAUAUGGGAGAUAUACUUAUUGGAGACAAAAAAACUGGAAUUUGUGCUGACAGCUGUUCAACUAUUGCAGACUUAGGGACUUCUUUGUUGGCAGGUCCAACGGAGCUGGAAUUCAUACACAAGAGUAGCAGCACUGUUGGCUAUAGACCCAAUGUCUUCUCAACCACUCUCUCCAAUCUCAUUGCCACCAACUCUUACCACUUCCUCAUUCCCUUCAUUCCCAUUCGAGGGAAAUGGCCAGUGUUGGUUUAUCUGGAGCUCUUUCGUCAGGAAUUGGAAAUUUGAGCCAUCUCUAAAUAUUAACAAUCAGUUAUUUGGUCCUAUCCCAGCUGAGAUAGGCAAGUUGUCAGAGCUUCAGACUCUAGACCUUUCCAGUAACCAGUUUGUUAGAGAAAUUCCUAGUUCUUUGGGCUUAUUGUCUCAACUAAGUUACUUCUUUUCAGGCGGCUCAACAAAAAUAAUUUAUCUGAACAGAUCCCUCCACUUGUUGCUAACUUGACAGGUCUUUCAUUCUUGGACUUGUCAUUUAAUAAUCUCAGUGGUCCUACUCCAAAAAUUUUGACAAAAGAUUACAGGAACCUUAUCCGAGUGAGUACCAAUGGCACAAUCAGUGGCAGAGUUUGAUGAGAAAAUUAAAAUAAUGUGUGAUAUUUUAUAUUCAUCUUGAGGCACUUCAAUAUUUUGCUAGGGGUGCUGAUAUUAAGGGCUGAAAAGCUGUGCUGGACAAGGCCGUGCAUACUGAUCCAAAUUGCUCAGGGUACUCAAAAUACUGAUCUAAAUUGCAGUUGCUGUUUCUCAAACAGUUUCAAUUAUAUGGGAAGCAAGUAGUUCAUUCGAGGUUUAGUUACUUUAAAAUUCUCUGUAGUUUCAUUGAACUUCCAUGUUGGAUUUGAAAUAGCUUUUUUUGUGGAUAUUAUUACAAGUUAGUGGAAAAACAAACCUGCUUCAGUUGCUCAAUUUUUGAAGAACACUCCCAAUCUGGAUAAGGUUGUAACUUUCAUGUAGUGCAAUUGAAUUCUAGAUUCAUGUUUGUUCUUGUAAUAUAUACCUCUUGGUUGUAUUGGGGUAAAAAAUUAUGAAUGGAAGUUCCAUGGAAUUGAUCCAUGUGUAUUUUGACUCAUGUACAAAAAACACUGUUGGUGUUGAAUUUUGAUAGAAAA